rnacentral:tRNA from 1 species
UGGGGUAUCGCCAAGAGGUAAGGCAACGGACUUUGACUCCGUCAUUCCACUGGUUCGAAUCCAGUUACCCCAGCCA